rnacentral:rRNA from 1 species
UACGAAGGGGGCGAGCGUUGUUCGGAAUCACUGGGCGUAAAGGGUGCGUAGGCGGCGACAAAAGUUAGGAGUGAAAGCCCAGGGCUCAACCUUGGAAUUGCUCUUAAAACUAUGUUGCUCGAAUCUCGGAGAGGAUAGCGGAAUUGUCAGUGUAGCAGUGAAAUGCGUAGAUAUUGACAGGAACACCGGUGGCGUAAGCGGCUAUCUGGACGAGUAUUGACGCUGAGGCACGAAAGCGUGGGGAUCAAACAGG